GACAGAGGGGGCAAGCGUUGCUCGGAAUUAUUGGGCGUAAAGCGUGUCUCGGCGGGUAGAUAAGUCAGAUGUUAAAGAUCGGCUUAACUGGGAGAGUGCGUUUGAUACUAUUUAUCUUGAGUCAUAGAGGGAUGAGCGGAAUUCCUGGUGUAGCAGUGAAAUGCGUAGAGAUCAGGAGGAACACCGGUGGCGAAAGCGGCUCAUUGGCUAUGUACUGACGCUCAAGCACGAAAGCGUGGGUAGCAAACAGG
rnacentral:rRNA from 1 species